GAGAAGAAGAAGAAGUGGAUCAGAACCGAGACGCUCUGGUUUCGGUUUGAAUCAAAACCUUUCUGGAAAUGGGAAAAUCUGGAAAUGCUUUGUGACGCAGCCACAGGAACCGCAGAGGAAGCUCUGACCCAGGGUUGUGAGCAGGAAGUGAGCAGGAAGUGAGCAGGAAGUGAGCGAGCCUCUGGAGGAAACAGUCGGCAAACAGAAGCAGAACUGCAGAGAGAAUCGUCUCCACUUGUUUCCUGAAGAGCUGCAGCUUCUGCUCAUUUCUGCGUUUCCUCCAGUUGCUGCCGUUCCUCUGGACAACGCUCCGCUUUCACAGCAGGGAGCCUUGAGCCGCCCACUGCAUUUCUCUCCAAGGUUGCGGGGCGAUCCGCGGCGGCUCAGGGGUUAUUUUUAGUCAGGCGGGAAGCGGGCCACUCCCAGCCCGCUGCACGAAGCUGCAGGCUGACCGCCGCGGCGCGGGGGAAUAAAUGUUUCCAAUUAGUCUGAGACGGGCGAUCAAGAAACCAGAAGGAGCCGAGAGGAACGACAGAAUAACCAUCAUGGCCGCCUGCAGGAUCGUCAUGGAAACGAUCAUGGCUGAAAGGAAGAAAACUAAAACAUGAAUCUGUCUGCUGCUUUUUAUUUAAUGUCACAAGAAAAUGAAAAUUAAAGAGGAAAUAUUCAGGAUUCUGCCUGUGGGGGGCGCAAUAACCAGUUCAGUGGCAUCACUCUCAGCCGCAGCACCAGUUUAACCAGUUUAACCAGUUUAAACCUAUUUCAAAGAAGCCAAGAGCAGAGGAGGACCCAAAACCAGGUGGUGGUAGCAUCAUGCUGUGGGCUUCCUCCCCCAGUAGUAGAAAACAAGAAAUUCACAC